rnacentral:tRNA from 1 species
GCCCCCGUAGCCCAACUGGCAGAGGCAUCGGCCUUAAAAGCCGAACAGUGUCGGUUCGAACCCGACCGGGGGCA